UACGUAGGGACCAAGCGUUGUUCGGAUUUACUGGGCGUAAAGGGCGCGUAGGCGGCAAUUCAAGUCAGCUGUGAAAUCUCUGGGCUUAACCCAGAACGGCCAGCUGAUACUGCUUUGCUAGAGUGCAGAAGGGGCAAUCGGAAUUCUUGGUGUAGCGGUGAAAUGCGUAGAUAUCAAGAGGAACACCUGAGGUGAAGACGGGUUGCUGGGCCGACACUGACGCUGAGUGCGCGAAAGCCAGGGGAGCAAACGGG
rnacentral:rRNA from 1 species